GGGGCACCAUUUUGGGAACUGAUCCAAUAUCCAUGAUGCAGCAAACCAAAUCUCACAGAUUACUGAUGUUAACCACAGCCCAUAUGCCUCAUGGACAGGAUGAAGAAUACGAUAGUGGAAAAAGAGGCAAAGGAUGACAAUACGAAGUACGAUUAUCAUUCUGUACGGGUUUAUCUUGCUUGAGGGGAUAGGCAGUUUUCUGGAGAGUGGUUGUCUCCCUUCAUCCAUCCUACAGAACAAUAUUAACAAAAACAUAAGCUAAAGAAGAAACUAGCAGUUUCUAAAUCAAACUAUAUCCAUGACAUAAAGCCUUAUGUCGUAGUUAUAGAUCCUAAUUCUGAACCUGCAUAAUGGCAGUUUCAUAAUGACAAAAAGAAAUUAUGAGGUUAAAGAAGAUAAAUUAGAUUAUUGUCCUCAUGGAAAACUCAAGCAUCUAGUGAAUAUGUUGACAAAGUACACCAAUAAAUGGACAGUUCCAUAUUAAAGACGGUAAAGAAAUCUGCUAAAAUAGAACAAGCAACGACGGCGAUAAAAAAUUACUACCGAGACCAAAAAGAAAUAUACAUCAGCGGAUAAACAAACCAUUUUGAGUAUAAAGAAGGGACAUACAUAGGCAAAUCUGUAUCAUCGAGCUCAUCGUCACCUUUUCCACCACCACCCUCAUGCUUAAUUACUUGAAGUCUUUCAUUUUGCUUCUUCCGCCAGUCUUCCAUUCUUUCCUUCCACGCAACAGUUCCAUACCCAUACACAGCUAAAUCCUUUUUGGGAUCCAUUGGCCUUGGAUUGGC
rnacentral:lncRNA from 1 species